AGCGGCGGACGGGUGAGUAACACGUGGGUAACCUGCCCAUAAGACUGGGAUAACUCCGGGAAACCGGGGCUAAUACCGGAUAACAUUUUGAACCGCAUGGUUCGAAAUUGAAAGGCGGCUUCGGCUGUCACUUAUGGAUGGACCCGCGUCGCAUUAGCUAGUUGGUGAGGUAACGGCUCACCAAGGCAACGAUGCGUAGCCGACCUGAGAGGGUGAUCGGCCACACUGGGACUGAGACACGGCCCAGACUCCUACGGGAGGCAGCAGUAGGGAAUCUUCCGCAAUGGACGAAAGUCUGACGGAGCAACGCCGCGUGAGUGAUGAAGGCUUUCGGGUCGUAAAACUCUGUUGUUAGGGAAGAACAAGUGCUAGUUGAAUAAGCUGGCACCUUGACGGUACCUAACCAGAAAGCCACGGCUAACUACGUGCCAGCAGCCGCGGUAAUACGUAGGUGGCAAGCGUUAUCCGGAAUUAUUGGGCGUAAAGCGCGCGCAGGUGGUUUCUUAAGUCUGAUGUGAAAGCCCACGGCUCAACCGUGGAGGGUCAUUGGAAACUGGGAGACUUGAGUGCAGAAGAGGAAAGUGGAAUUCCAUGUGUAGCGGUGAAAUGCGUAGAGAUAUGGAG
rnacentral:rRNA from 1 species